UGAGCAGGUCACCUUAUCGCUCCUUUCGAGGGGAGGAAAGUCCGGACACCAUAGUGCAGCAUAGCGGGUAACGCCCGUCCGUCGCAAGACGCGGACAAGUGCAACAGAAAGCAAGUACAGUUAGGCUGUAGUGAAAUCAGGUAAACUCUAUGCGGUGCAACGCCAUGUAAACCAGUGUUUGAGGGCUGCACGCCCGAGUUGGAGGGUAGGCGGAUUGAAUUUUUGGGCAACCAAAAGUCUAGAUAAAUGAUGAGGCUCGACAGAAUCCGGCUUAUGACCUGCUUUUUUU
rnacentral:RNase_P_RNA from 1 species